UACGGAGGGGGCUAGCGUUGUUCGGAAUUACUGGGCGUAAAGCGCACGUAGGCGGCUUUGCAAGUCAGAGGUGAAAGCCCGGGGCUCAACCCCGGAAUUGCCUUUGAGACUGCAUCGCUAGAAUUGUGGAGAGGUAAGUGGAAUUCCCAGUGUAGAGGUGAAAUUCGUAGAUAUUGGGAAGAACACCGGUGGCGAAGGCGGCUCACUGGCUCAUUACUGACGCUCAGGCGCGACAGCGUGGGGAUCAAACAGG
rnacentral:rRNA from 1 species